CGACCCCUAGCUCAGCAGUGCAGAGCGCCGGAGUGACAUCCCGGAGGGCGACGGUUCAAAUCCGUCGGGGCCGAC
rnacentral:tRNA from 1 species